rnacentral:misc_RNA from 1 species
AAAUUUUUUGAACUUUUUUUUUGGCUUUCAAAUUUAUCAAAAUUAAGUACAAACUUCAAUUCCAACACCCACACACAUUUUUCAUAAACAUUUUACAACUAAAAUUUAUUUUUUUGAACCACAAUUAAAUUUACACGUGUUUUUCUAUUGAAGCUUCUUUGGAAUGGACACAGCAAAGUGACUAUUUCCAACGUUGCUGAGAAACUGAAUGCCUUGAUUUUGAUGUUAAUGACUUUUGGAUGGAUAAAUAACGGGUAAGAGGCGCAAGCCGCGUGUUAAGCCGAAGAGAUGUGAUCAAGAAGGAAGAGCAACAGCACGAAUGCAUAUGCAAAUACAGAAUUAUCAGCAACUACAAGACCUAUAAAGAAUGAUGUUGAUCACUUUUAUGAAAAGUCAAAGCAACAACAAUAGCAACAAGUUGUUAGCAAACAGUGUUGAAAUGCCGAAGGAGCUAGGCAUGUAUGCGGACGUGCUACAGUCACUUCAUUGUGUGGUGAGAUGUGCAAACUCAGCAAAACAAGCAGAACAAAAAAUACCACAAAAGCAGCAACAACAAAAAAUUAAAAACAGUGACGUUUAGUUUUAUUGCAUGUAAAGCCGUUAAGAGUGGAAAAAUAGAGAUUUUAAAGAAAACUAUUGUAUGGUAAAUAAGGAAUUUUAGAGAAGCGCGGCGACGAAGGUGGAGAGCAAAAACCUGUAAAUAUAGUCCAAGUACUCGAGUGGUUUCAACAGUUGUACGUCCAAACGGAAUCGUUCAGAUCGGACGAGGAGUCACAACGUGUCCGUGAGGCGGGCAA